GACGGAGGAUGCAAGCGUUAUCCGGAAUGAUUGGGCGUAAAGCGUCCGCAGGUGGCAGUUCAAGUCUGCUGUCAAAGACCGGGGCUUAACUUCGGAAAGGCAGUGGAAACUGAACAACUAGAGUAUGGUAGGGGCAGAGGGAAUUCCUGGUGUAGCGGUGAAAUGCGCAGAUAUCAGGAAGAACACCCGUGGCUAAGGCGGCUCUCUAGUACGGUACUGACGCUGAGACGCGAAAGCGUGGGGAGCGAACAGG
rnacentral:rRNA from 1 species